rnacentral:rRNA from 1 species
GAUGAACGCUGGCGGCGUGCCUAAUACAUGCAAGUCGAGCGAACAGACGAGGAGCUUGCUCCUCUGACGUUGGCGGCGGACGGGUGAGUAACACGUGGAUAACCUACCUAUAAGACUGGGAUAACUUCGGGAAACCGGAGCUAAUACCGGAUAAUAUAUUGAACCGCAUGGUUCAAUAGUGAAAGACGGUUUUGCUGUCUCUUAUAGAUGGAUCCGCGCCGCAUUAGCUAGUUGGUAAGGUAACGGCUUACCAAGGCAACGAUGCGUAGCCGACCUGAGAGGGUGAUCGGCCACACUGGAACUGAGACACGGUCCAGACUCCUACGGGAGGCAGCAGUAGGGAAUCUUCCGCAAUGGGCGAAAGCCUGACGGAGCAACGCCGCGUGAGCGAUGAAGGUCUUCGGAUCGUAAAACUCUGUUAUUAGGGAAGAACAAAUGUGUAAGUAACUAUGCACGUCUUGACGGUACCUAAUCAGAAAGCCACGGCUAACUACGUG